rnacentral:lncRNA from 1 species
CAGUGAUGGUGGGAUGCCUAGGCGGCGGAGAGGUCCACCAAGCAGGGGAGGGGCGGCCCGGGCAGUGUUUGACGAGGUCACCCUGGAGACGGCCUAGGUGCCCUAGGGGACUGCUCCACCAAGCGAUGCUGGACACAGCAGCGGGUCUUCUGCAGCUCUGCUGAGGACGAUCCCAGGGCCAGGUGGUCAGACCUGCCACCCAGAAAACAGCAGUGUGAUGAUGUCAGCUUUGUCUAAAGAUAAACUGUUUCCUGCAAUGAAGAAGAGGGGGAGCAUGUGUUCCCCAAAUAAUCAUGAGUUCCGACAGAAGGAAGGUCACUGGCGGGUCAAAAAGUUGACUUCCAUCAGGCCAGGGCUAGACUUUUCACAAGAGGGAGGUAAAUAACCAUCAUGGCACAGAGGCAUGGGAGCAGGCAGCAGACACGGCGGCUGGAGCAGGGUGCUGAGAGCUUACAUCGUGAACCACAAGCACAAGGCAGAGAGAACAACGUUUCUGUCUGUACAGUGUCCCACUCGGAUGAGCCCAGCCAUCACGAUGAGUCCUCUGGCCUUCAAGUCCGGAUGGAAAACACCUACCAAUUAGGUGUGCUGCUCUGUCAUUGGUCUGCAUGCUAAACCUUGACUUCAGUGACCAGUGCUGGCUUAGCGGUAGCCUGGCAUUGUCUUCAGUCCUAGAAAAGGGGCCUUAAUUUGAGAAAGCGGGUGGCAAAUUACAGAGUUACGGUCUUGCUUUGAAAAACUGAAACAAAACAAAUCAGGUUCACCUAAAUCUCCAGUUUACCUCUAGAUACCAUAAAUGUGUAUAAUAUAUGACUG